rnacentral:rRNA from 1 species
UAUAUUAAAGUUGUUGCGGUUAAAAAGCUCGUAGUUUGAUUUCGGCGAGCAGGGGGCGGUUCGUUAUUUGACGUAACUGCCCCAUUUGCUCGUGUUUCUUCGGCAGAACUCCCGGGGUGCUCUUCGCCGAGUGUCCCGUUGGGGGCUGCCAGGUUUACUUUGAAAAAAUUAGAGUGCUCCAAGCAGGCUCGACACGCCUGAAUAUUUGUGCAUGGAAUAAUGGAAUAGGACGUCGUUCCUAUUUUGUUGGUUUUAGGGAAUCGACGUAAUGAUUAAUAGGGACAGCCGGGGGCAUUAGUAUUCAGACGACAGAGGUGAAAUUCUUGGACCGUCUGGCGACUCACUGCUGCGAAAGCGUUUGCCAAGUAUGUUUUCAUUAAUCAAGAACGAAAGUUAGAGGUUCGAAGGCGAUCAGAUACCGCCCUAGUUCUAACCAUAAACGAUGCCAGCUAGCGAUCCGCAGAUGUUUUUAUUGUAGGCUCUGCGGGAAGCUUCCGGGAAACCAAAGCUUUUGGGUUCCGGGGGAAGUAUGGGUGCAAAGCUGAAACUUAAAGAAAUUGACGGAAGGGCACCACCAGGCGUGGAACUUGCGGCUUAAUUUGACUCAACACUGGAAAUCUCACCAGGCCCGGACACCGGAAGGAUUGACAGAUUGAGAGCUCUUUCUCGAUUCGGUGGGUGGUGGUGCAUGGCCGUUCUUAGUUGGU